rnacentral:lncRNA from 1 species
UGUCACAUAUUUGUUUUUCGUUCAUUUUUUUACAUAAAUAAGGGCGUUCGUUUUCUCGUUUGAAUUGUUUUACAUUGUCUUAUCGGGGCCUUUUAUAGCUCACUAUGCGGUAUGGGCUUUGCUCAUUGUUGAAGGCCGUACGGUGACCUAUAGUUGUUAAUGUCUGUGUCAUUUUGGUCUUUUGUGGAUAGUUGUCUCAUUGGAAAUCAUACCACAUCUUCUUUUUUAUAU